rnacentral:rRNA from 1 species
UGAGCUCGAUGAGUAGGGCGGGACACGUGGUAUCCUGUCUGAAUAUGGGGGGACCAUCCUCCAAGGCUAAAUACUCCUGACUGACCGAUAGUGAACCAGUACCGUGAGGGAAAGGCGAAAAGAACCCCGGCGAGGGGAGUGAAAAAGAACCUGAAACCGUGUACGUACAAGCAGUGGGAGCACGCUUAGGCGUGUGACUGCGUACCUUUUGUAUAAUGGGUCAGCGACUUAUAUUCUGUAGCAAGGUUAACCGAAUAGGGGAGCCGAAGGGAAACCGAGUCUUAACUGGGCGUUAAGUUGCAGGGUAUAGACCCGAAACCCGGUGAUCUAGCCAUGGGCAGGUUGAAGGUUGGGUAACACUAACUGGAGGACCGAACCGACUAAUGUUGAAAAAUUAGCGGAUGACUUGUGGCUGGGGGUGAAAGGCCAAUCAAACCGGGAGAUAGCUGGUUCUCCCCGAAAGCUAUUUAGGUAGCGCCUCGUGAAUUCAUCUCCGGGGGUAGAGCACUGUUUCGGCAAGGGGGUCAUCCCGACUUACCAACCCGAUGCAAACUGCGAAUACCGGAGAAUGU